UACAAUUACAACAGUAACGAUUUUUGAAGAUGUUAACAUUUUAAUCUUAUAGGAAAAUAGGAAAACCAGCCGACUUAAUCGAUAAUAACAAUCUCCAGAUUGGGUUCCUUCAAUAAAUAUGGGCUAUAAACACAAUGAAAUAAGUUCCCCAAAAUCUAAAAUGGAGUGCUAUCAAAGGAGAAUUAAAGGAAAAAAUAUUCAUAUUGAAAUUAUUUAUAAGGCACUGGACUGUCUUAAAUUCUACAAUAAUACUAGAAUCAGCUGAGAGAAGUGGUCUACAAAAAACCAGGAAGGAAACGGAAUAUGUGGCUACGAAAGGCAAAAGAAAGGUUUACAAAGCAAAUGUGACACAUUUUUUUGAAAUAUUUAGGAAUAUCAGUAAAUUGCAUUAAAAAAUGUAUGAAAAGAUUUUGUUCAAUAAAAAUGUUUAUAUUUA
rnacentral:lncRNA from 1 species